UUCCGGUUGAUCCUGCCGGACCUUACUGCUAUCGGGGUGGGACUAAGACAUGCGAGUCGAGCGACUCUAGCUAUGUUGAGACGCGGCAUACGGCUCAGUAACACGUGGCUAACCUACCCUCAGGACGGGGACAAACCCGGGAAACUGGGGCUAAUAUCCGAUAGGCGAAGAAUCCUGGAAUGGUUCUUCACUCAAAGGACAUUGGAAACAUGCUUUCUCUGUCGCCUGGGGAUGGGGCCGCGUCCGAUCAGGUUGUUGGUGAGGUAAUGGCUCACCAAGCCUUUAACCGGUACGGGCCGUGAGAGCGGUAGCCCGGAGAUGGGUACUGAGACAAGGACCCAGGCCCUACGGGGCGCAGCAGUCGCGAAAACUCCGCAAUGCACGAAAGUGUGACGGGGCUACCCCGAGUGCCGUCCGCUGAGGAUGGCUUUUCCUUGGUGUAACUAGCCGGGGGAAUAAGGAGAGGGCAAGACUGGUGUCAGCCGCCGCGGUAAUACCAGCUCUCCGAGUGGUAGGGAUGAUUAUUGGGCUUAAAGCGUCCGUAGCCGGCUUAGCAAGUUUCCUGUUAAAUUCAGCGACCUAAUCGUUGAGCCGCGGGAAAUACUACUAGGCUAGGAGGCGGGAGAGGUCGACGGUACUUCUGGGGUAGGGGUGAAAUCCUAUAAUCCCGGGAGGACCACCAGUGGCGAAGGCUGUCGACUAGAACGCGCUCGACGGUGAGGGACGAAAGCUGGGGGAGCGAACCGGAUUAGAUACCCGGGUAGUCCCAGCUGUAAACGAUGCGGGCUAGGUGUUGGGGUGGCUACGUGCCACUUCAGUGCCGCAGGGAAGCCAUUAAGCCCGCCGCCUGGGGAGUACGGCCGCAAGGCUGAAACUUAAAGGAAUUGGCGGGGGAGCACCACAAGGCGUGAAGCUUGCGGUUCAAUUGGAUUCAACGCCGGG
rnacentral:rRNA from 1 species